rnacentral:rRNA from 1 species
GAUGAACGCUGGCGGCGUGCCUAAUACAUGCAAGUCGAGCGAACGGACGAGAAGCUUGCUUCUCUGAUGUUAGCGGCGGACGGGUGAGUAACACGUGGAUAACCUACCUAUAAGACUGGGAUAACUUCGGGAAACCGGAGCUAAUACCGGAUAAUAUUUUGAACCGCAUGGUUCAAAAGUGAAAGACGGUCUUGCUGUCACUUAUAGAUGGAUCCGCGCUGCAUUAGCUAGUUGGUAAGGUAACGGCUUACCAAGGCAACGAUGCAUAGCCGACCUGAGAGGGUGAUCGGCCACACUGGAACUGAGACACGGUCCAGACUCCUACGGGAGGCAGCAGUAGGGAAUCUUCCGCAAUGGGCGAAAGCCUGACGGAGCAACGCCGCGUGAGUGAUGAAUGUCUUCGGAUCGUAAAACUCUGUUAUUAGGGAAGAACAUAUGUGUAAGUAACUGUGCACAUCUUGACGGUACCUAAUCAGAAAGCCACGGCUAACUACGUG